rnacentral:rRNA from 1 species
AGAGUUUGAUCAUGGCUCAGGAUGAACGCUGGCGGCGUGCUUAACACAUGCAAGUCGAGCGAAGCGAUUUUGUGGAAGCCUUCGGGUGGAAGCAAGAUUGACUUAGCGGCGGACGGGUGAGUAACGCGUGGGUAACCUGCCUCAUACAGGGGGAUAACAGUUAGAAAUGACUGCUAAUACCGCAUAAGCGCACAGUGCUG